AGGGGGAGGGGGAGUGAGUGUGCGACCCCCAAACAAAGAAGGGGGGUGACGCAGAGAAAGGCCCGCUAGCGACUCCCAAACGCAAAACCUCUGAAGAAAAAGAAAAAAAAAAACCCAUACAUUUGUCUAAGAAAAUGAAAAUCCGGCGGACAAAAAUAUGUAUGUUGAAGUUAAAGACAAACGAGAAAGUGGGAGACGAGACUUUUCCGCCUGGGACACAUGAAAGACACGGGGCUAACUUCCCUAAUAAACGAAGACCUCUUGGAAACCGAUACGGUAAAGACCAAACUAAGCCAGAAAAUUGGGCAAAAAGGGAAGAAACUGGCAAUUCACAGGAAAAUACAAAUGGCUGACAGACCUACAGGACAAAACUCACGACCUGACUCCCAAAGAAACGUAAAACCGAGAGCCCGGACCAGCACGGUUUAGCGGAUGCUCUCCUGAGGCGGCCUCGCGCGUCGCCGCCUGGGACAGGCUGGGUCAGUCCCACCCGUGGCCACCCGGACCGUCGGCCAUGCAGGGCACACAGACGCGUGAGGAAACCCGUAUGCGGCGGGAAACGACGAGGUAGCGCCGCUCGGGACGAACGACGGCCGAGGACUCAAUAGAGUUAGUCAAACACUCAAGUGGCCGAAGUUUGUAGACAUGACCCGCUCCAUAAGCAAGGACCUGCCUUGAUUUUGUUCUUCAAAGCAUCCCCAGCAACUGGUGCAAAGUGAAUCCUCCGUUUGUGUAUCUCAAAUGUGGGUGUGUUAUUGUCUUCAAGGAAAAGACCGGCAGCCUGGGACCAAGAGAAUCCAGGGGCGAGUUCCCAGUGAGACAACUGUCCCGUGCAUCACCUCCAAGGCCUCCCACAUCCUAUACAGGUCGUGGAGAGGACCCGUAGGGACAGGUGAAAGGAGCCCUCUGGCUAUGUCAUGGAGGUGAAGCUGCAGAGCAGAAGCCAGACUUGUGGGGUCACCGCCCCGCCCCUCCCCCGCCUCCCACCUCACCAGCAUCCUUCUCACAUGUAACUUCCUUUGGUCUCGGAAGAAGGUACAGGUUUGAACUAAAGCGUCCGCUCAGCCCUCAGAAGAAACGUGUUUCCAUGAGGCUGCACCAUGGUCCUCAACCAGGGUGGCUGUGCCCCCAGGAAACAUUUGGA